rnacentral:misc_RNA from 1 species
UACGGAGGGUGCGAGCGUUAACCGGAAUUAUUGGGCGUAAAGCGCGCGUAGGCGGCUAUGUAAGCCGGUUGUGAAAGCCCCGAGCUCAACCUGGGAAUGGCAUCCGGAACUGUUUAGCUAGAGUUAAAAAGAGGAAGGUAGAAUUCGCGGUGUAGCGGUGAAAUGCGUAGAGAUCGGGAGGAAUACCAGUGGCGAAGGCGGCCUUCUGGUCUGACACUGACGCUGAGGUGCGAAAGCGUGGGUAGCAAACAGG